rnacentral:tRNA from 1 species
GGUGGCGUAGCUCAAUGGCAGAGCAAUACACUCAUAAAGUAUAGGUUACAGGUUCGAAUCCCGUCGCCACCA